GUGACGGGAGAGCCAUGGCGCGGGCCGCUGCGGCCCCUCCGCGGCCGCGUGACGGGCGCGGUGCGGAUGGGAGAGGAGAGGCGCAGCCAGAUGGAGAGACCCCGCCGCGGGAACCCGCCCGGAGACCGGCGGCCUCCGGCCUGCGAGACAGCGUGCGGAUUUCAACGGCUCUCCGGCUCCUGCAGCUGGCAGUGCCCGCAGCUGGUGAAGGAUCUGGGAAGUCAUUAAGGAGAAGCGGCUGAAUGCUCCUAUACUUAAUAAAAGAUGAUAACAGGGAGGGUGUACCCAGUGAUAAAUAUUCUUGCUUCAAUCCUGUGUCUUUGAUUCAUCUCACAAUCCGAAGGGAUUGAAGAAAGUGGGGCCAUCCUUGUAUCCUGCGCUCAUCUUGCCCCCCCUCUAAACCAUGGGCUGAACCUGGGAAUCCUGAAGGCAGUAAAUACUUUGCUGAACGCUGAGUUGCCCAGUGGAAAAACAGCAAAUUCUCCUUCUGAAAGUAACUUUAAAACAGGAUGACUACAUCUCCUAUGCCUGGAAUAAUAGGAAUUUGAACUAAAGAUCAGAAAUCUGAAGGAAUUCAAUCUAUGCAGAAACUGAUGUGCUGUAUCCAAGCUAUGUGGUGAAAAGUUAAAUUUAACGAGCUGUUAAUUGUGAUUGGUGAAUGGCUAAAGUCCAAGCUUCAGAUUUGUGUUGCUUGCCUCCUGUUUUGUUUGUAAUACCUUCUGGUCUGUGCCUUUGUGUGAAAUGGGUCCCCAGUGGGUAUGCAAGCCACAGCUGAGUCUACAGCUUUGACCCGAGAACUUCACUUCCCAGCACAACAUUUAGUUCUGUUCAUCCUCAGUUCAACCUGUUCAGGUCUAAAGAUUCCUUCAAGCCAGCAAAUUGUGUCAUUCCUGUUGAUGGGGAUUGCUCUGUGUGUAUGUGUAGUCAUCAAAGAGUCACUGCAUGUGUGUGUGCAGUAACUCAGGCCUUACUUCUGAAAAGCUACGCACAGCAGAACAUGAGAACUUUAUGAAAUAAUUAGGAAAAUUACUGACAUCAACUGUGUUUAGAUGUCAUUAAGUUUAUGACAGGAUAUAACUUAACUACUUGAAUCUUUUAAAAAUUGUAGCAUCAUCUAUUGUUCUCAGCUUUUAUUUCAUCAUAUUGCAGUCAGGAGCAGAACCAGAUGUUCAAAAGCAAUAUAAAUCUCAGCAGUGUAAGGGCAAAAUAAGUACCCAGGUACGUGUAUCUAAGCAACACGACCCUGAACUUGUGUGUCUUGUCAGCCUUGCCAUCUUUGGUCCUCUGCGUAUCCUCUUUUCCUAACAGGAACUUUGUCUCAUGAUCUUACCUUCAGGAAGGUAAGACGUUGGAGAGGUUGACAACAUCAGCAGAGUGCUGCAGUGCUCUGGAACAGAGCAGUUGGACACCUUCCUGCUGUUCAUGUGGGAUCUGACCUGCUCCUGGGACUGGCUGGCUGGAUGCCAGUCCUUUCCAUCUGGCCCUUGGGAGAAGACCAGUAUAUUGCAGUUUCCUCUUAUUUGGCAAGUCCCAGGCAGAAAAUUACUCUUUUCCAUCCCACCAUUGGUGGUGUUGAAUUCCACAUCUUUUUCAUCAUCUUUGACAAAAGUGAAACAAAAACUUAAUUCUUGCAGUGUCCAUAGCCAUUCUGAAGUAGGUUUCAGAUAUGUUUCUGACUUCUGCUUUUUGGUCUCUCUUGCCCAAGUCUUGAAAGGCUUAUAUCAUUGUUCACUGGCCCUCUGAGCUGCCAGGCAUUAUCCCAAGGGCUAAUGACAUUAAUUUACCUUUUGCAAAACAGCAUUUGGAUCACACCACAGCUUUACGCUUGGCCACAGCAGAACUAUUCUUUGGUGGAAACCUGUCUGUCAGUGGAUGGAGAGAUGAUAUGCUCUUGUUGCCCACGUACUGCUGCUGCAAAGUGCCGAGUUCCUCAGUGCUUUUGAGAUGGAAGUCUUCCCACUGGAAAUCCAUGUUUAUCCUCUUUUGGGGUGACUGUUUUAUCUUGGAAACUCUCUCUCCAAACUUUGUUUAAAUAGUUACAGAUCUCUGUUACACUGAUUAUGACAGGUAACUUCCUCUUUUUUCUAUCUGCUACCAGCACCAUUUCCUUGAGUUCCUGUUCAGUAUCAGGGUCUCUGCAGCCAUCUUAUAUGAACAGGCACAAGUCUCACUUCUUAAGUGUCACAGACAAUACCCUCUCACCCUUGAGGGGUUCUUGUUGCAGCUGAAAGCAGUAGUUUGUUCUGGUGCACAUAACUUUCCUAAUAAAUGAUCUGUGGAUUGGUGAUUUGUCCAGCCUGUACAUGUGGAGCUUGAGGCAAACUGCACUGCUCUUCUUUAACCCGUGGCUGAGUUUCUUAAUCUGAAAUAACGCCCAAAUUCCCUUCUAAAACUAGUCUUUUGAUUCCACAAUGGUCAAAUUUUGUGUUUCUAGGUUGGGGAGUGAGAGUUCCCAUGCAGUUGUGUAUAGUGUUUACUGGGUCCUUAGUCUGACAUAUUUUUCUAAGCCUCUUUCUACUGGAGUCUGGGCCAUAGCCUGAGGUCGUUGAACAGUUUAUUUAUGUGGCUCUUGUUCUGAAAAUUGGAGAUAACUGCUUCUAACACCUGUGUGGGCCUUGAAUCGAGAGUUAUUUUUUGUCUCCCCUAAUUUUUCAGAAACUAGACUUCCAAGCCAGAACUUAAUGGGUGAGUCGCCGUAGUGGUAGGUACUGUAUUCUGCACCAGACAAGUGCCAUGAGUGUAGCAAAGUAUCUUUUCCACACCCCUAUGAGGUUUCCGAAGUUAACUGUUAGUGGCUUUAUUCUGUGUUUAUGAACAUGAAGAAAUGUAAACCUUUGCGUUGUAUAAAUGAGGUUUUCACUGUCAGAGUGAAAUAAUCACUGCAGGCAGUGGAAAAUAGAUCUGAGAGCAUCACCAGUAAUUCUCAAGGAUGUACUGGUCCUUCCUUUAUCCUUCCUUUUUCUAUAAGGAAAAAAUAGCAUCCAACACUAUCUUUGGGUACAAGGUCCUCUGUAUAUGUUGUGACAGAAGUUGCAGAUGUUCAAAGUCUGUGCUGUUUUUCUACCGAGUGUUCACUUUUGAGAUACUUCUCUGAAGAAGUUUGAGUGUAGUUACAGGCCCCAGUAACCUAAAGUUGCAUGGAUCUCUUUUCCAUUGCCCUGAAUUAUAGAAGGAAUUCAGUUAACAGGCUGUGAAAUCAUCAUGUUAGCUCACAGCUUUUCGGUUCAUUCCUCCAUGUUGUGCCACACACUCACUGACUCUGCUGUGUGAUUUGCUCUGAUUAUCUCCCUGUACAGAAUGGAAACUUCCUGCCAUGAAAUACACUACUCCCUCAAAACACCAUACGUAUUCUUCUUGAAAUUGAGCUUGCCUCUCACUCACAGAGAAGAGCUGCAUUAUUCACCAAAACAUUCUGCCUUUUCUUGGGUAUGAGUUGAAUCUCAGUGCCAACUCAAGACAGUACAAGAGUACAUGCCGUGAAGUCAAGAAGUUAGAAGAAGGAAGUGUUUUCCCCCUGGCUUUUCCUAGUAAGGGGGUCUGCCUUAUGUGGGCUGGGGUAGACCUGUUUCUUGUGCUCACUGUCACAUCUGUCAAGCCUCUCUGUCAUUCAUGUCAAGUAGCCGAGCAAUUUCCUGACUAAAUGCAAAGGAGUUAUGAAGCGAGACCUCUGUUCACGAAAAUAUCUUUUUCUCCUAUGUUGGGAGACCUAAAUCCUGCCUUUCUUCUCUCUGGAACAGUCAUUUAAUGAGCACUCGGCGAGUCAGUCCUGACAAGACAUACAGACCAAGAUGUUCAAAUACUAGUUGCUAAAUGUGUAGAGGAGACACUGGCAUAAAAAGUUCAGAGACCUUUUCCAUAGUGACAAGUGUCAGCCUCUCACUUUUUUGUCUCCAGGGAAAGUCACACCAUGGAUUUAAAUUAAUUAUUUCUGUCUAGGUACCAUUAUCAGUGAGACACUGGCUGUCAGAAGAGUUUGUUAAUGAGUUUGCAGGAGAGUGGAAAGGAUAAGAAUAGAUGAGGGCAGAGAGACAUCUUGAAGUGACAACCGUGAAACUGACAGCAGAAUGGUGGAUGGUAAGGAUCCUCCACUACCAGGCAGGCUCCCCCUGUCCCGAGUCCAGCUUUGAUUAAUGAGCUAAGCAAAGAAUGGAAUUAACAGACAUGAAAAAAAAUGUAAAAUGUCAGUAUAGUAUUACUUCACCACCUCAGGCCUAACACAGAAAAUACUCUGUGUCUGUGAGAAUGAGGUGCAGAGGAGCCCAUGAGAAGCUAGUACAAGAGGAGCAAUGGUGGUGUCUUAAAAUAAUUUAGCUGACAAGCUUGGAAGAGUUAUGAAUGGCAUGAACCGAUUAUUUGUCAGAGAUGUACAGUUUAGCCUAGGUUGGAUGUUUUUCCACAGGGAUGCUGAAAAGGACCCAAGUCUGGAGGCUUCCUUCUUUCUGAGCUGUGAUUAUAUGCCAUUUUUAGUGGCCUCUGCCAACAUGAAAAGGUGUACAGGCUUCUUAACAAGGUAACUAACUGGCAGAAUUUGUUUUUUUCAUGAGGAAAUAGUUUCCCUUGACUCAUUAUUUGAAAUGUAUGGACUAUUUUACCUGUGGGGUUUUGUUCAGUUCAGAGUGUCUUUUUAAACCAGCCUGAUGGAUGUGUCUAACAUGGGCAGCUCAAGUAAUUUCAGUUUGGCAAACUUCCAGGCAACCAACAACAUCUUGUCAUGAAAAGCUUAUAGAAAUCUCAUGCGUGGGUGCUUCUUAGAAGUAGCAUCCAAGCAGGUUGAGCUGUGAUACAAAUGAAGAGAUGAACCACAUCUGGUACAGAACAUGCUUGGGGAGUACUAGGGAGGGAGCAAGGCUCUACAGGUUUUUCCCAUUAAAAUAUCUCUCAGUGGUGACUGACAAUAGGUAAUUGCUCCUCUAGCGUGUGCUGUGAAUGCUACCGUGCGUUAAAUGUCUUUUGUCCUCUCUGAAGGCAUUCAUCUCCCCUAACUUUAGAUGUAGACAGGUACAAGGUACACCAGAAUCCCGGAUUGCCCUUCUGCAUUAUGUGGAGUUGACAUCAAAGAAGACAGACUUGGCUACCUUGGUGUGAGAGAAUGAAGGGAACUUUACAGAUGCAUAGCAUCUUCUCUGGCAUGUGAUGGUUUGCAGGAAGCUGGUCAGUAUGACGAUUGCAAACAUGAAGACGAUGUGGUAUGAGGAACAAAAGUACCACAGUGAAAAGCUGUUAGUAAGCACUGUGUCAGUACACAGCUCCAGAGACUGUCCCUAGCCUGAGGAGGUUAGAAGAAGCCUCAAGGUUCUCAGAAGGCAAAAAAAAAAAUGAACCUGUGAGGCAAUGACUUCUUCUUCGGCAACUUUACCCUGAAGUUAUUUGUUCUUGUCGCUCAGACCUUUCAUCCAGACACGGUUAUUUUCAUUAAGAGAAAGCAACCCGGGAAAGAUUUUAUCAGCACAGCUGGAUCAUCUCAUGUGAUGGUUUGACCAGUCUUCAGCAAUCCUGUAAUCCAAUCAGUGUCCAAUGUGGAGGAUGUGUGAAGAUGUCACUGUGCUUGUUCAAUACAUCCUGAGCUCCCCUUCUUCAUGGGGCCUGGCUUUGUCCCACGCUAAUGAUCUGGAUAGCACAUGUUCUUUUUUCAUGACCCUAACUAUUUUUAAAAGACAAAGACCUUUGCUCUCUAAAGGUGAUUUCGCCUGUGUGCCGCUUCCAAACUAUUUCUCUCCCAGCUCCGCACCUAACCUGGCCUGACAAAGAAGAGCAAAGUAUCCAUAGGCUCACAAGGAGUGUGGUAGUGGCAUGUUUCCUAGAUGCAUGUGAAAGCCAGUGAAAAGAGACUGUCUCCAACAUGUGCUGUGAAAGUCACCUUAGAUGCUGCAGCAACCGUGGGGGCAGUUGAAACAUAGGAAAAUACCACCAUUCACGACAUUAGUGGAAAGUUGCAGGCAGAUGGCGUGAGGUUAAAUGGAGGAUUGACUACCAGGCUUUGCAGAGAGUGGAGAGGCUAAAAUGGGGCCAGCCCCCACCCAGGGCUGAGCAAACAGAGCAAGAAACAACCAAAGGGGUGAGAGGUAGGGUCAGACCUGCCCUGGAUGGAGGGUGCCUAAGGGUAGUGCUGCCUGACUGGGAUCACUCACCAAGGCUGUAAUUGCCAAACAGGGGUGCAAAAUCAUCAAAACUUGAACCUGUGGGGGACCAAGUGGUAAGGGGAAAUAACUGGGGUGGGUUGUUCAUAUGGCAGGGGGAAAUGGGGGCAAAAUAGAGGACAAAGCAAUUCAUAUGGUUGGGGCUGUUUGGGGCCAUAGUGGGCAUCAGAUCAGAUAUAAGUCAGGAGCAGGACAGUAAAUCUGCUGUGGCCAUAUGGGUGAGUUUGCCUUCCUUCUGCAGCCAGGGGGAUGUGUUAUGACCCAGACGGACCCCAAAGAGUCAUGGGUUUCUGUGAUCCCCUCAGGUUAAAAUAAAGUGAAACAACACCAGAAGACCAGUUAAAAUAUUUUAUUUGCAGUAGAAACAGCUUAAACUUGGAAAAGGAUAGUAAGCAAUGGGGUCUCUUACUGAUAAAUCUAGAAGAAAGAAAAGAAAGGAAAAGAAGAGAAAGGAGAGAAAGAUAGUCGAAGUAUCCAGAUCACCACCCCAAGUUCCAGCAUUGUCUCAGGUCCAGUAAUCUUGGGUGGUGGGUGCACACCCAGCAAAGUUUUCUGUCGCCUUUUAAGUUCAUCUUACCAGCUGACUAGCAUACUAGAUCAAGAGAGGCAGGUAUUCCACGAACUCAGUUCCAUGAGAGACGAGGAAAAGGUGUGGAGCGUGCGUUCUGUGCAUGCACUGAGGGGAAAUGAGGUGCACCAACCCCCUCGUCCAGCUGAGUCAAUGGUUGUGCUCACACUCCACCUCACCCCCCUUUAUUUUUUCCUCUGUUUUUGCUUAGGUCCAUCUGGUGCUGGCUGUUUAUUUCUCUUAUUAAUCUUUUAACCCAAACAUAUGGUUUCACUCAGUCCAUGUUUCCCCUCUUCAAGGCUUAUCUAAGGAGUUUGGCAGUACAACUGCAAGGGAGUGAGGACGUGCAUCACUUGAUACACUCUGCGCUUCUUUGGGCAGUGUUCCUGAGACUAAUCACAAAGGCCACAGCUUAUCCUUGAGGCUUUCCAUGUUGAUGAAUGUUUGAGGUAUUAAUGCCUUCUGUUCCUUGCACCACCCUGUGACUCAAACAUUCGGUGAAACUUCAAGGUAGUCAUCAUCAAGGGUGGUAAUGCAGAUAUAUUGAACAGAGAGAGGAAGAGAGGGAACUAUGAGAGAGCGUACAUUCACUAUAGCAAUACCUAUCACUAUUGCAAAAAUACUGACAAAAUCAUAAAUCUAAUGUUUACGAGCCAUCUUCCCCAAGCUCCUCAACAUACUUCUUUUCACAUUCUUUUCCUAUUUCACAACUUUUACAACAGUUCUUUUACUUUGCCUUUCCAUUAACACUUUCUGUUAAUACAUAUAUUCCAUUUCAUGAGUUUCAUGAUCACAUCAUUUGAUUACAAAAUGUGUCUUGAUUAGGUAUCCAAAAUUAGGAUAACCCCAACAAGUGCACGUAUCUCAAAUAGAACUUCUUAAUGAUCUACAACUAAUAAUCAUCGAUUACAAAAAAUGUUUAAGGCACCAAGCACAUUCAUAAUGAAAGCAGUCAUGGUGAGCAUAACCACCCCAUUUGUUAGGAAUUUGAAUACACCAACCUGGGGAUAGCAGAACAUUAUAGGGGUUCACCAUGAGAUAGGGGGUCCCACCAACGUAAUAUACGUUUGAUUUAACAUUUUUAGUUUCUAAUGCAAAACUCAUGCAAAUUUGAAACCCGCUGAUGUGGACAUGGGGAGAUCCACACAGAGACCUUGCUCUGUCUGAUUCCAUAUUUGAGCAAAACCAGUAAUCAGUUCCCAUGCCAAGUUGGGUUGCUUAUCCGAAUUCCUAGUUGAUUGAGACAAGAUUAUACAUCCACAAAGUAAGAAUAUAAUCUUCUCCUGCACCAUUUUUCCAAAGUAAAGAAUAAAACCAGGCCUAGUAAGAUCAGUCAAACAGUGCAAGGAAUGGCCCUCAAUAACUGAAAACACUAGUCUCACAGUGGGCUUCUGAUCCACCUGCAAAAUGCAGUGGUUUUAGGGAACAUCAAGUAGUACUGCCUGCAGUCAAGACUGGAAGUGUCCAUCCAAGAGGUGUGAGACACCCCCUUCAAGGUGCUCAUGCAAAUGAAACUUCAAGCUCUCUUGACUGGAACAGCUCUGCUCAAAAUACACUGAAGCAUCCUCAGAUCUGCAGAAUGAGCUCAUUGUGUGUGAAAAUGCCAAUAAAUUUCAGUUGGACCAGCCAUAGGAGCAUUGCCUGAACCUUGUGGUGAAGGAUCCACAAAGAAUCAGUUAGCAGUGAUGAAGGAGCUUUAAACAUCAUUCUUCAUCCUUCAUAAUGGAAACUGUGCAGAGAAAAUAGCGACCUCUUGCUCCUGCAUGGCAUCCCUCCUUCUGCCCUGCCUGCAAUAUUAUCCACCAGCCAACGGUUUUCCUAAGUGCCAGAUGGCCUAGGUGCUUCUGUAAGAACUCAAACAUGGUCUAUUGCCAAGCUUCCAGAGUCCAUGUACCCUCCCCAAGAAACCGUGAGAGGUCAGCACAGCAUCACCAGUCAGAAAUACAAAAGCGACAAGGAUUAUUUCAACACAAACAUGCAAACAACCAAGCAGCUAUGGUGUUGGCACUGUAGUAGAGGGUUGGGGCUGACUUUUGCACCUUAACUGAUAUGCUUGUUAGAAUCAAGCUAGUGGGGUACAGUACCCUGUGCGAAUACAUUCUGAUAAGCUGCUUUACAUCAGAACAUCUUUAAUUCAGGACAUGAAGGCCCACCUAGAAGAAAUAAUUUUUACCUUCUUUUCUUGUUCUGAAAAAGUGGCACCUUGACCCAAAAAUCCCAAGCUCUCCCCUCCUUUUUCCUGGAAUACCUCUGUUAGGCAUUGCAUCUUCAAGUUGCUGGUCAUUCCGGUACUAUGGAAGGCUGUCAGGAGAUCCCCAACCAAGCGGGUCAGUGCAUGCUGGAGUCCAAACUGCUAAUCCCAGAGCCAGGAUUGAUCAGGCGAUCUGGGCAAGAUGUUGUGGCCAUCCCACCUGGGUCACCAAAAUGUUAUCCCAAAAGAAGUGUUCUCUCACCUGGUAUGCAAGCCAAUACGCACAGGGUCAAGGUAUUUCUUUUAUGCAAUGUCUGUGCAGAGAUGGGUGCUAGGUGGUAAUUCCACAAAGCUAGCGCAUCACCCAAAGGAACUACAGCCUAUUUAUCUUGUUACAUGAUUAGUAAACAAAUACUCUGUAAAUGCUGGCACUUUCACAACUAUAUUUAUCCAAGCUAUGUGGCUUUACGGGAAAUCAAUUCAGCCUGGCGUUACUUGGCUUUAAGGUUACUAAGAAGAGACGAGAGAGAUGUAUCGCAAUCCUGGAUCCAGCAUUGGACCUGUCAACAGGGGUGUUAGGUGUGGAGAGUCCCCUCUUUAUAGCCCCAGUUCCUGGACUUCUGGAACCUUCUCUCACCCCGGUCUCAGGAGUGGUUGAGACACUGGCCAGUCAAGAGAAAUGACUCACUGCAACUUCCAUUUUGUGUCUCUGAAACCAUUUUGUGUCUCUGCUCUGGUCAAGGGAGGGGGCAUACAGUGCAGUGACUUCAGUCACUUGGGGCUCAUCCCUUACAUAAAACCUUGGAUCAAAUUCCAGGCUAAAUUUGGAAGAUAUUUUCACUGUCCACCAAUGGUAAGGAUGAGGAUGAGGGAGAAGGCUCUCCAAAGCAUCUUUCCCUAGAACAACAGACAAAAAUUACAAAUAACAAUAAACCAGUGGUGCAAAUAACAAUUGAUAUAGCCAGGCUUAAUAUGGAUCCCUUGCCAUCCUUCUCUGUUUUUCUCUAAUUCUACAAGGCAUGCAUACAAAGGACAUGCAAGUUAAAACAAGGGUAUUAAUAUAUACAUAAUGAGACAAAGAAGUUUCUGUGAUGGAUCUGCAAAAUAUGUAAAAUCACAGAACACAUUAAAAGGAUGGAACAGUC